GAUGAACGCUGGCGGCGUGCCUAAUACAUGCAAGUCGAGCGAACAGACGAGGAGCUUGCUCCUCUGACGUUAGCGGCGGACGGGUGAGUAACACGUGGAUAACCUACCUAUAAGACUGGGAUAACUUCGGGAAACCGGAGCUAAUACCGGAUAAUAUAUUGAACCGCAUGGUUCAAUAGUGAAAGACGGUUUUGCUGUCACUUAUAGAUGGAUCCGCGCCGCAUUAGCUAGUUGGUAAGGUAACGGCUUACCAAGGCAACGAAGCGUAGCCGACCUGAGAGGGUGAUCGGCCACACUGGAACUGAGACACGGUCCAGACUCCUACGGGAGGCAGCAGUAGGGAAUCUUCCGCAAUGGGCGAAAGCCUGACGGAGCAACGCCGCGUGAGUGAUGAAGGUCUUGGGAUCGUAAAACUCUGUUAUUAGGGAAGAACAAAUGUGUAAGUAACUAUGCACGUCUUGACGGUACCUAAUCAGAAAGCCACGGCUAACUACGUG
rnacentral:rRNA from 1 species